rnacentral:ncRNA from 1 species
UAAAGGCUUAGUCCCAACUUUGCUAUCGAUUCUGGCUAAAUUUACACAUGCAAGUAUCCGCACCCCUGUGAGGAUGCCCUAUGCUCUUCUACCAAAGAGCUAGGAGCAGGUAUCAGGCGCACAACUGUACAGCCAACGACACCUUGUUCAGCCACACCCCCAAGGGAAUUCAGCAGUGAUAAACCUUAAGCUAUGAGUGAAAACUUGACUUAGUUAGUGCCAAGAGAGCCGGUAAAUCUCGUGCCAGCCACCGCGGUUAUACGAGAGGCUCAAAUUGAUAGCCAACGGCGUAAAGUGUGGUUAAGGAAACUCCUCAAACUAAAGCCGAAUGCCUUCACAGCAGUCAUACGCUACCGAAGGUAAGAAGCCCUCCAACGAAAGUGACUUUAUAUAACCUGAACCCACGAAAGCUAGGAAACAAACUGGGAUUCGGCACCCCACUAUGCCUAGCCAUAAACAAAGAUAGAAUCCUACACAUCUAUCCGCCUGAAUACUACGAGCGCAAGCUUAAAACUCAAGGGACUUGGCGGCGCUUUAUAACCAUCUAGAGGAGCCUGUUCUAGAACCGAUUCCCCCCGUUCAACCUCACCCUCUCUUGCUUUUUCCCGUCUAUAUACCGCCGUCGUCAGCUUACCCUUUGAAGGACAAAUAGUGAGCAAAACUGGUAAAACCCAAAACGUCAGGUCGAGGUGUAGCGUAUGGGAGGGGAAGCAAUGGGCUACAUUCGCUUACUCAAGCGAGCACCCGAGCCAUUAACUGAAAAUGUUUGGUAGAUUAAGGAUUUAGCAGUAAGCGAGAGAGUAGAGCGCUCCGCUGAAACCGGCACUGAAGCGAGUACAUACCGCCCGUCACUCUCCCCGAAAAACCCACCAAUAUAACUAAUAACAUAUUAAAUUAUAAGGGGAGGCAAGUCGUAACAUGGUAAGUGUACCUGAAGGUGCACUUGGACAAACACA